rnacentral:rRNA from 1 species
GACGAACGCUGGCGGCGUGCUUAACACAUGCAAGUCGAACGGAAAGGCUCCAGCUUGCUGGAGUACUCGAGUGGCGAACGGGUGAGUAACACGUGGGUAAUCUGCCCUGCACUCUGGGAUAAGCCUGGGAAACUGGGUCUAAUACUGGAUAUGACCUUUCUCCUUAUGGGGUUUGGUGGAAAGUUUUUCGGUGUAGGAUGAGCCCGCGGCCUAUCAGCUUGUUGGUGGGGUGAUGGCCUACCAAGGCGACGACGGGUAGCCGGCCUGAGAGGGUGAUCGGCCACAUUGGGACUGAGAUACGGCCCAGGCUCCUACGGGAGGCAGCAGUGGGGAAUAUUGCACAAUGGGCGGAAGCCUGAUGCAGCGACGCCGCGUGAGGGAUGACGGCCUUCGGGUUGUAAACCUCUUUCAGCAGGGACGAAGCGUAAGUGACGGUACCUGCAGAAGAAGCACCGGCUAACUACGUG